rnacentral:rRNA from 1 species
UAGUCCACGCCCUAAACGAUGUAUGCUUGGUGUUGGGCCCAUUAGGGUUCAGUGCCGCAGGGAAUCUGUUAAGCAUACCACCUGGGGAGUACGAUCGCAAGGUUGAAACUCAAAGGAAUUGACGGGGGCCCGCACAAGCGGUGGAUCAUGUGGUUUAAUUCGAUGCAACGCGAAGAACCUUACCCAGGCUUGAAGUGUAAGAAGUACAGAGAUGAAAGUCGACGGACCCGUCAAAUCGGGAGCUUACAGAGGUGCUGCAUGGUUGUCGUCAGCUCGUGCCGUGAGGUGUUGGGUUAAGUCCCGCAACGAGCGCAACCCUUGUCCUUAGUUGCCAGCACGUAAUGGUGGGAACUCUAAGGAGACUGCCGGUGAUAAACCGGGAGGAAGGUGGGGAUGACGUCAAGUCAUCAUGGCCCUUAUGGGGCUGGGGCUACACACGUGCUACAAUGGUCGGUACAGAGGGGUCGCAAU